CCUACGGGUGGCAGCAGUGGGGAAUAUUGCACAAUGGGGGAAACCCUGAUGCAGCGACGCCGCGUGAGUGAAGAAGUAUUUCGGUAUGUAAAGCACUAUCAGCAGGGAAGAUAAUGAUGGUAUCUGACUACGAAGCCACGGCUAACUACGGCCCAGCAGCCGCGGUAAUACGUAGGGGGCAAGCGUUAGCCGGAUUUACUGGGUGUAAAGGGUGCGUAGGUGGCAGGGCAAGUCAGAUGUGAAAGCCCGGGGCUCAACCCCGGUACUGCAUUUGAUACUGUCCAGCUGGAGUGCAGGAGAGGUGAGCAGAAUUCCUAGUGUAGCGGUGAAAUGCGUAGAGAUUAGGAGGAACACCAGUGGCGAAGGCGGCUUACUGGACUGUAACUGACACUGAGGCACGAAAGCGUGGGGAGCAAACAGGAUUAGAUACCCUUGUAGUC
rnacentral:rRNA from 1 species